rnacentral:rRNA from 1 species
GGAAAUGAAUUUCGCCUCGGGAGGGGCUCAUGUGAUAUUAGCUUGUUGGUGAGGUAACGGCUCACCAAGGCGAAGAUGUCUAGCGGGUGUGAGAGCACGACCCGCGCCACUGGCACUGAGACACUGGCCAGACACCUACGGGUGGCUGCAGUCGAGGAUCUUCGGCAAUGGGCGCAAGCCUGACCGAGCGACGCCGCGUGGACGAUGAAGGCCUUCGGGUUGUAAAGUCCUGUCGAGGGGGAUGAAGGCGCAAGCUUGACAUAUCCCUGGAGGAAGCACGGGCUAAGUUCGUGCCAGCAGCCGCGGUAAGACGAACCGUGCAAACGUUGUUCGGAAUCACUGGGCUUAAAGGGCGCGUAGGCGGCAGAUCAAGUCCGGGGUGAAAUCCUGCAGCUUAACUGUAGAAGUGCCUUGGAUACUGAUUUGCUCGAGGGAGGUAGGGGUCUGUGGAACUUCUGGUGGAGCGGUGAAAUGCGUUGAUAUCAGAAGGAACGCCGGUGGCGAAAGCGACGGACUGGAUCUCUUCUGACGCUGAGGCGCGAAAGCUAGGGGAGCAAACGGGAUUAGAUACCCCGGUAGUCCUAGCCCUAAACUAUGGGCACUAGGUUGCGGACUAACAUGGGUUCGCAGCCGAAGCAAAAGUGUUAAGUGCCCCGCCUGGGGAGUAUGGUCGCAAGGCUGAAACUCAAAGGAAUUGACGGGGGCUCACACAAGCAGUGGAGCAUGUGGCUUAAUUCGAGGCUACACGAAGAACCUUAUCCUAGGCUUGACAUGUCCGAAAGGGGUAGGAAGUAGUCUGCGGAAACGUUCGACCAAC